UGUGAACCGCAUUAAGAUUUUCACACAAAAAUAGAAAAAAAAAACAAUAAAUUUUGGGGGUUCCCCAUACUUAGAACUGAAACUCAACAUUUUGUUUUCAUGAAACCCAUAUGUUUAGAAUAUCAUUUUUUUCUAAACUGAAUAGUUUGCGCGAGAGACACUUCCAAAGUGGUAAAAUGUGUGUCCGCCCCCCCCCCCCCCCCCCCCCCCGUAACUUCUAAAAUAAGAGAACGAUCAAACUAAAAAAAAUAUAUGAUGUACAUUACCAUGCAAACUUCCACCGAAAAUUGGUUUGAACGAAAUCUAGUAAGUAGUUAUUUUUAAUACGUCAUAAAUCGUAAA